GCAAAGCCUGAAAGCAGGAAAACUGCUCAGUCCCUUAACGCAGCCACUCAAAAUCCAAGCACAAGUUCACGAAGCUGAAAAUGCGGUGAAAGUUAUGAAGAAAAUUUAAGAUAUUCAGGGUGGAUUCAAUUUAGAAUGAGACAGAAACUAAAAAGUUAUAGAUUGUAAAUAAUUAAUUUCUAACCUCUUUAGACUUUCAACAGAAAAGAUGGAACUUCAGUUGCACCAAAAAUAGCUAUACCGAUGGAAGCCGUACAUCAGAAUUGAUUGCAAUUAAAUACUUAUGCAAUCGAAUUAAACGAAGAACAUUCCGACGGGGAAGUGGAAAUCAAGAAAUUAUUAAAGAGUGCAGUGGGUAGCAACGAAGGCACUAACCCUGUGGUUAUGAAGAAAAUAUUGUCGGUCUCAGAAUACGAAAAUUUGUAAUUUCAUUACAAAUAUUGGUCUGAAAUGACCCUUAAACAUUUUUUUUUGAAAUAAUCACAAGACAUUCCACUAUUGCACCACAAACAUCGCUGCUUAACAAAGUCUUAAAUCAAGAAUUAUUAAAAUUAAACACCGAUGAAAUUGAAUCGGACAAAGAAAAUUCCGACGGCGAAGUUGAAAUAUACGAAUUAAAAAAGAAAAUUCGAAGGCUAGAAAAUGAAUCACUGUCUAAAGAUGCAAAGAUUUCCGAAACGAUGGUUAUGAAUUUAAAUCUACAACUUAAACUAAAUUCAUACGAACAGAGUGGUAAUGGUUCGGAACCCGUUUAUCAGAGCACAGGAAAUGCUACUCCCGUGGGUGCUGAAAUAGUUGGAAAAAUCCAUCUUGGACGAAACGUGUACAUAUCGAAAAUAAGUACACCAAAGUACUCUUCGGUGCUUCAAUUCCAGCUUUAUAUUUUAAGAUGUUGGCUCUUCAGUUUUUUGGGCGGGAUGUAUUAAUGGCCAGUUCAAUAAGUGGAAAAGUGUCCAAUAGGACGAGGAAGAUAAAUAAUAAGGAUAGACCUGCACUGAACCCUUGCGUCUUACUUGCCUUUGAAGAUAUAUUUGCAAUUUGGGCAAAACCUGCAAAACCACCGCUAAUUGAGGUACAAAUCCAGAAUUUUAUAUGCCAAGCACCAAGGCUUAUUGGACACUAUAUUACCUAAUUAAGACGCCGACACCUUAGAAAAGACCCGAAGCUCUCUCCCAGUCUGAUGAGGAAACAAAUCUGGGGGAUAAAAGUUAUCCUCAAAAUAAAACGAACGGCGAAACUAUGGAGGAUCCGGCUCAACCUAUCGACGAUCCGUCUGGUCGUAUCGAAGAUUCUACUGAUCCAGUCGAGGACCCAACUUAUCCCGAGUUUGCAGGGAACUUUGAUAUUGUGCUUUUCAAAGGUAUGGAGGAAGAAAUUUUGGAAGAUGAUCACAUUGAUCCACUUCAACAUGAAGGCGAAGGCGAAGGUUCCAGCAUUCACUAAUAUAUUUCUAACAAAAUUUUGCACGUCUAAAAAGUUGCAUCAAAAAUAUUUCUUACUCUUUUGCCAUAUCUUACAUAGUUCACAAAAAAAAUUGAAAAAUUAUAUUUUGAGAGGAACAAAAUGAUCCUGGACUAAAACCGGUUUAGCUCACAUAGAGCUGAUAGGAUGGCUUUCUUCUAUUAGCAGAAACCUUCCAAAUACAUAGGGAAGAAUAAAAAAGUGUCGUUUUCCAGAAAAUAUUUUUUUCAUGUU